rnacentral:lncRNA from 1 species
UAUCAUACUGUCAUGGGUAAGUAGCCCAGAAGGGCCGUCAUGAGAUAACGGGAAUAAAACAUAAGGGAAUACUAGACAUAGGACGACCCAACAUGAUAUAGAAACUUAUACAUGUGACAUACGAGCCUAUAAGGCCGACAUGAUCAUUUGUAUACUCAAGACAUAGGCCGAUAAGGCCAUACAAGUAUCCAUAUACAUGUCAUAUGUCUACAAGCCUAUAAGAGUACAUAAAUAUUAUAAAGGUCGAGACAGGGCCCCGCCAUACCAAUCAAUACAUAUUCAAAUCAUACUGACCAAAUAAGUAACUCCGAAGCAAGUGGAGUGCACAAACACCUUAGGCUGAGCUGAUAGCCUACUAGGAGAACUCUAAACCUGUCUAUCGGGACCUGCAGGCAUGAAACGUAACAUCCUCAGGCAAAAGGGACAUCAGAACAAAUAAAUUACCGAGUAUGUAAGCCAUGAAAGAAACAUGGAGUAAGGAACUCAACCUGUAAGUCUGAAUAGCUCUGUGAAUCAUGAAAAUAUUUAUAAUGCCAUGUAUGUGCGUAUAAAUGCCAUACCAUGCAUAAGUAUAUGCGUACAUAAUAUCAUCAAGCCUCUGAGGGUAUCCCAUCAUAUCAUCUCAGCCACUAUGGACGAAAUCAUCAACGUAUACCAACUGAUCAGGUGGUGGUGCGUAUAUAACGCCAUAACCUUUUUCAUAUCCCAUAUACAUAUAAUAUACGCGUAUAUAAAGCCAUCUGGUCAUGAGUCAAUGUAUAUGUAUAAAUGAAUGCAAUGCAUAAGGAAGUAAAUCUAUAAGAUCUCUCGGAAUAUCACAAGACCCAUGAACAGACGAUAUGAUAGUAGGACAUAUGGGGAAUCAAGAACAUAGGCAACCCUAGUACUUUUAGGAAUAGAAUUAUUUGUGAAAGUUGCGUACUUGCUCAUUUCUUGCAUCAUAUGGAUCAUGCCAAAAUAAAAAUAAUGGAUAUCCUUAACAUACCUUAUCAUAAUAUUUCCAAUCACCAAGUUGAACUUGCCUCUUCGUACCUUAAUCUACAACAACAAUAAUAAUACUAAAGUUACGAAAGGUACAACUAUGGCACAACGAACGAUAAACUUAUUUUGUAUUAAAACGGGCAGCAUCUCCCCUAUAAUCCUUACUUCCUUCAAAUUAAAGAUAACACCAAAUACAACAAUAUCAACAUGUAUACAUUAUUUUCCAACCUUAUAUAUACCACAAAAUAUUAUAAAACAGCCCAACACACAUCAAUUUCUUUAUACAUAAAACGACCACUGUAGUAGUGUCAAACGACCUGAAAAUAGUACUCCACAACCUUACUCCUCCAAAACUCCACAAAACAGUAGUAAAACACGCAGCCCAACAACAAUACAAAAUAAUCCACAAAACAGUCUGCUACAAGUAAAUAACUCGAAGUCACGGCUUCCGAUCACCAUCCCGUGAGUUCUAACUAUUAGGAAAUGAAUUUAUCAACCUUCCUUGAUAUUUAAACACUUAAAUACAGAAAGUACACAUUUUUAAACUAUGAAGUACAUUCCAAAACUCAAACUACAAAGAAAAAAGAGAGGCGAUAUAACGAUACUUACGUCGUAGGGAUUGUUUUAAUAUUAUCGUUUCUUGAUUCCGUGCCUGGGAUAAUAAUCUUAUUUGAAGCUCUUGCAGAAAGCUUAAGAGUAAAUUUAGGGGUCUUAUUUGGUUGUGUGUUCUGAAAAA